UACGAAGGGAGCUAGCGUUGUUCGGAAUCACUGGGCGUAAAGCGCACGUAGGCGGAUUGCUAAGUCAGGGGUGAAAUCCUGGAGCUCAACUCCAGAACUGCCUUUGAUACUGGCGAUCUCGAGUUCGGGAGAGGUGAGUGGAACUGCGAGUGUAGAGGUGAAAUUCGUAGAUAUUCGCAAGAACACCAGUGGCGAAGGCGGCUCACUGGCCCGAUACUGACGCUGAGGUGCGAAAGCGUGGGGAGCAAACAGG
rnacentral:rRNA from 1 species